rnacentral:rRNA from 1 species
AUAUUGGACAAUGGGGGGAAACCCUGAUCCAGCCAUGCCGCGUGAGUGAUGAAGGCCUUAGGGUUGUAAAGCUCUUUCGCUAGGGAAGAUAAUGACGGUACCUAGACAAGAAGCCCCGGCUAACUUCGUGCCAGCAGCCGCGGUAAUACGAAGGGGGCUAGCGUUGUUCGGAAUUACUGGACGUAAAGCGCACGUAGGCGGGCCGGCCAGUCAGGGGUGAAAUCCCAGAGCUUAACUCUGGAACUGCCCUUGAUACUGCCGGUCUUGAGGAUGAGAGAGGUGAGUGGAACUGCGAGUGUAGAGGUGAAAUUCGUAGAUAUUCGCAAGAACACCAGUGGCGAAGGCGGCUCACUGGCUCAUUUCUGACGCUGAGGUGCGAAAGCGUGGGGAGCAAACAGG